rnacentral:misc_RNA from 1 species
CGCACAUUGCGCCUCUUGGUAUUCCGAGAGGCAUGUCUGUUUGAGCGUCAGUGACACCCAUCAAACUCCGGUUUGCUGUUGGGCGUACGGUGCCGCGAACCCCGCGAGGGGCCCCGCCCACCCGCCUGAAUGUCGCUGGGGUCUCCCACCGCGGAUGCGACGGAAGUGAUAAAUCAAUCUAUUCUUUCGGAAGCGUCAGUGGCGUGAGAGUCCCCCCACAAAGGAAACUCCCCCAGAGUUUUGACCUCAGAUCAGAUAAGGAUACCCGCUGAACUUAA